CCAUGAAGCACUCUGGGGUCUUGUGAAAAUAUAAAUUCUGAUUCUGUAGGUCAUAAUGGAGCCCGAGAUUGUGCAUUUCUACAAGGUCCCAGAUGAUACGGAU
rnacentral:pre_miRNA from 1 species